GCAUAUUUGGUUCAGAGGAGAAUUCUCGCCUGCCACGCGGGCGGCCCGGGUUCGAUUCCCGGCCGAUGUA
rnacentral:tRNA from 1 species